rnacentral:rRNA from 1 species
GAUGAACGCUGGCGGCGUGCCUAAUACAUGCAAGUCGAGCGAACAGACGAGGAGCUUGCUCCUCUGACGUUAGCGGCGGACGGGUGAGUAACACGUGGAUAACCUACCUAUAAUACUGGGAUGACUUCGGGAAACCGGAGCUAAUACCGGAUAAUAUAUUGAACCGGAUGGUUCAAUAGUGAAAGACGGUUUUGCUGUCACUUAUAGAUGGAUCCGCGUCGCAUUAGCUAGUUGGUAAGGUAACGGCUUACCAAGGCAACGAUGCGUAGCCGACCUGAGAGGGUGAUCGGCCACACUGGAACUGAGACACGGUCCAGACUCCUACGGGAGGCAGCAGUAGGGAAUCUUCCGCAAUGGGCGAAAGCCUGACGGAGCAACGCCGCGUGAGUGAUGAAGGUCUUCGGAUCGUAAAACUCUGUUAUUAGGGAAGAACAAAAGUGUAAGUAACUAUGCACGUCUUGACGGUACCUAAUCAGAAAGCCACGGCUAACUACGUG